UAACGCAUCCACGUUCAUGAUUAUGGUUACUAGCGAAUCUGCUAUUUAAAUCCAAUUUUAGUGUCUUCUCUCUCGAUCCUUCUCUGUUAUUUAUCUCCACUCCAUCGUUUUUUUUUGUAGUUGCUAUAUAAACCACAAUUACAAUUCUCACGCAGUUGGAAGAUGCCUCUGGAUUAUACUCUUUUUUCAAAUCUAAAUUCUUUGAAAAAAGAAUGGAAGAUCAGAGCUCUAAUAUCUGGGACUUAGAAUUUUUAUCCAAAAGAUAAAACCAGGAAGUAUUCUACAUUGAGUUGUUUGCGUUUCAUUAUCGGAGAUUAUGUUGACGGAAUUGGAGUCACAAAUUUAAGGGUCUGAGCUUUCUCACCCUAAAAAAGGCCAUCGUAGCCGCAGCCUAAAGAAAUUGUGACGAACUCUUGAAUUUGUAUCGCAUCUUGCAUACAUCGAGUUUAUAUGAUCUACUUGAAGAGCUGUUUCCAACCAAAGACGACAUGUCUGAGAUGUUAUUCCACACUUCUCCGCCUCUUAUCCGUCCUUGAAACAGAGGAGUCGAAGAAGAUGGGCCUCGACCACUCAACAAAACCACAACAACAACUGAAGACAAGCCCAGUUAAACAAAUGAAGCACUAAAAGGUACACCACAGUCGUCAACACGUCUCUUCGUGCAUCAGAGUAAAGAAGAAGGUCGGUGCAUGUACAAAGAUGAAGGCUCAUCGAUCCAAAUAGGUUGAGAUUCUCCACUCCCAAGGCAAAUCACUCAACAUAAUUAGGCAUCGUUUGAAAUCAAUAAUAUGAGGAUUUCAGAUUGUUCCACUUGGAGUAUAAAACCCUUUUGGGUGAACGUAAAAGUAAGGUGAAAUCAAUAAUAUGAGAGUGUUCAGUAAAAAAUUAUUUCAAUUCACAACUCAUGUUAGUUUCAGUUGGAAUUUCUUAUGAUUCUUUUUCGAAGCUUUACUUACAUGUCUUUA